UCGAUGCUUUAAACGGCCGAUUUCGACAUGUUGGAAUCGUUUCUCGUGCAGCUAGUGCCAUCCAGUGGUUAGUCUAGGCAGUGCACUUGUAGAACCAGUUUAAAUUUUCCCGCUCUGGCGACGUUCUGAUUUUUGAUGCGCCUUUUUGAGAACUAAUGUGCGCGUGUUGUUGCAAAAGGGGGCGUGGCGGCCGCGCUUGAGAAAAAAUACUGCCACUCGUGGUAAUUCAGCAUUAGCGUGAAAUUUUUGUGAUCAAAAGGCUCCCAGCAAGUCAAAUAUUGAAUCAUAUUGUCGGCUUUGUUAUCUGGCGGCGUUGAGUGGGGAUAAUUACCCGAAAAUGACGCCAGCUAUUCACUAGUGAGCUUUGACUUGGAGUUCGGGUCGUUUUAUUCCACGAAAACGCAUUCCUGAAGGUCCGCCUCAUGUCCAACAUGUAUACCUAGCCUUUACAGCCAGUUUGCAGCAGUUUUGGUUUCGCUUCUCUUGUUAAAUCCGCCAGAGGGCCGCAUCCGGUGUUACUAUCGCAACAACGCCAGUCGCUCCGGUCUCUGCCAUGGCGUCGUCGUCGGACGCAACUGCGCCGCGCGGAAAGCGUUCUGCUCGAAAGUAUUCUUCACCCGCACCUGAUUUUAGUGACGAGGAUUCGAGCUUCGAGUCCGAAGAUGACAGUACUUCUGCUUCAAGCUCUGACGGCGACGAUGUUUCGAGUCAGCUCGGGACAUCCGCAGCUGCUCACCGGGUCCGUACGUCGCUAGGCCAGGAUGUGCUGCCACCGGCUGUGAAGAAACUUCAGUUCACGCCAACAAGGCCGCCCGGAGCACAUCUCGGCCCAGCACUUCGGAGCAGCGCAAGACGCUUUACAACGGCGCGCGAUUUUUUCCUCCUGUUCUUCACCGCAGAAGUAAUAAAUACUAUCUGCAAGAACACGAAUAAAUAUGCUUGGAUGCAUAUUUUGGAGCUUCCAAGCUAUGCUGAAAGAGAUGGGUCGUGGAAGGAAGUGAAUCCCGACGAAUUAGUGAAGUUCAUUGGACUGCUCAUUUAUAGGAAAGGAAAGAGAAGGAAAGAAGAGAAGAGGCGGCGUGUGGACUAUCAUCCCAAUCGAAAAGCCGGUGCUGAUUGACGACUAUAAUUCCGGGAUGCUUGGAGUUGAUAAGUCGGAUCAGCUGAUUGCAUCCUAUAACGUUUUGAUGAAGUGCGUGAGGUGGUGGAAGACGCUCUUCUUUCAUUGUAUUGACAUGGCUGUUGUGAAUAGCUUCAUUCUUUUUCAAGAGCACCGCCAGCAACACCUCUCAACACCGGAAUUGCAGAGGAGCGCCCACUUCGACCAACUUUCUUUUCGGAUGGAGCUCACCCAACAGCUGCUCGAGCUUGAUGAUGAAGAGGUUCCCAGAGUGCAUCCUGUCCCAAAAGAAGUGCCGCACCAUCCGCAAAAGAUGCCGAAAAGGCGAAACUGAAGGAUGUGCUAUCAGGAACGCAAAAUCGAACAAAAGACAAACGUUUUCUGCGAAAACUGCGAAGUGCACCUGUGCCUCACGAAAACGCGCAUCUGCUUCACCGCAUGGCACGAGCGCUGAAGCUGUUCCCGGUCUUUACUUUUUUUUAUGUAGCUGAAGAACGGCGCGGUACAGAGAAUUAAUUUUUAUAGACAGUAUUCCUGAGUCAUUGAUCUUCAAAAUGUAUAUUCUAAAUUUUCUUUCUUAAUAAUGUGUAUGUAGAUAUUGUGCCUUUUCUUUCUUGUUUUUAUCAACUCGCCACAAAAAUGGCACUUUUCCGAAUUUUUUGUAUGUUCCCUAAUAAAUUGUUUGCUUUGUAACUUA